UACGAAGGGGGCGAGCGUUGUUCGGAAUCACUGGGCGUAAAGCGCACGUAGGCGGAUUGUUAAGUCAGGGGUGAAAUCCUGGAGCUCAACUCCAGAACUGCCUUUGAUACUGGCGAUCUCGAGUCCGGGAGAGGUGAGUGGAACUGCGAGUGUAGAGGUGAAAUUCGUAGAUAUUCGCAAGAACACCAGUGGCGAAGGCGGCUCACUGGCCCGGUACUGACGCUGAGGUGCGAAAGCGUGGGGAGCAAACAGG
rnacentral:rRNA from 1 species